ensembl:snRNA U1 U1 spliceosomal RNA
AUACUUCCCUGGCUGGGGAAACUCCAUGAUCAUGACGGUGAUUUUCUCAGAGAUGCUUAUCCAUGCCACUCUGGAUGUACUGCUUCCUGCGAGUUCCCCAAGUGAGGGAAUCUUGACUAUAAUUUGUGGUGGUGGGAAGUGUUUAUGCUUUCCCAUA